rnacentral:rRNA from 1 species
GUGGAUUAGAUACCCUGGUAGUCCACCCCGUAAACGUUGGGAACUAGUUGUGGGGUCCUUUCCACGGAUUCCGUGACGCAGCUAACGCAUUAAGUUCCCCGCCUGGGGAGUACGGCCGCAAGGCUAAAACUCAAAGGAAUUGACGGGGACCCGCACAAGCGGCGGAGCAUGCGGAUUAAUUCGAUGCAACGCGAAGAACCUUACCAAGGCUUGACAUACACGAGAACGGGCCAGAAAUGGUCAACUCUUUGGACACUCGUGAACAGGUGGUGCAUGGCCGUCGCCAGCU